rnacentral:tRNA from 1 species
GCCUGGGUGGCUCAGUCAGUUAAGCAUCUGACUUUGGCUCAGGUCAUGAUCUCACAGUUUGUGGGUUCGAGCCCCACGUCAGGCU